GUCAGCAAGCCCUCGCGUAAAGGCGGGGGCUUUUAAAGGCCCCUCUCGCUUACCGGAAGACGCUCACGCGUCAACGAUUUCUGAGCCAUGACGCCUUCAGAUGCCUCGCCAGUCGGCAGCUUUGCCGCGGGAACAAAGAAAGCCGGGAAGGGAAAACCCGCGCCCCUGAUACCGCACAACAAGCUCAGAAAUGCUCCCCCAGGCAGACUUUACAAGGCGCUUACGCGC
rnacentral:sRNA from 1 species